GAUGAACGCUGGCGGCGUGCCUAAUACAUGCAAGUCGAGCGAAUGGAUUAAGAGCUUGCUCUUAUGAAGUUAGCGGCGGACGGGUGAGUAACACGUGGGUAACCUGCCCAUAAGACUGGGAUAACUCCGGGAAACCGGGGCUAAUACCGGAUAACAUUUUGAACCGCAUGAUUCGAAAUCGAAAGGCGGCUUCGGCUGUCACUUAUGGAUGGACCCGCGUCGCAUUAGCUAGUUGGUGAGGUAACGGCUCACCAAGGCAACGAUGCGUAGCCGACCUGAGAGGGUGAUCGGCCACACUGGGACUGAGACACGGCCCAGACUCCUACGGGAGGCAGCAGUAGGGAAUCUUCCGCAAUGGACGAAAGUCUGACGGAGCAACGCCGCGUAAGUGAUGAAGGCUUUCGGGUCGUAAAACUCUGUUGUUAGGGAGGAACAAGUGCUGGUUGAAUAAGCUGACACCUUGACGGUACCUAACCAGAAAGCCACGGCUAACUACGUGCCAGCCGCCGCCGUAA
rnacentral:rRNA from 1 species